rnacentral:ncRNA from 2 species
UAAGUUUAUUAUUAUCAUUGUUUCAAGAAAGACAAAACUAUCCGUAAACGAGAAAA